ensembl:lncRNA
GGGUGGGGUAGGUCGGGACAGGCAAGUAAAUGGCGUUGGUUACAGGUGUGAGGGGUGAAAGAGGAGGGAAGUAACAAGUGGAAGCGGUGUGUUUCGUUAGGAAGCCGUUAGGUCCCUGUGGCCGCGCACUGCUCUCCGCCGCCCGCUGCUGUCUGCGCCUCACAGCGCCCCUUCGCAGCCUGCCAGAGCUCUCGCUGCCUUCUCCAGGCUUCGUUUGGAUCCCAGCUGUGCUACUCAAGGAGUGGGUUUUGUAGCCCUGUGAGCGGCACUUGUGACCAGAUCUGUAACGUUAUUCUCUUCCAAUGAUUUCUCUCUGAGCUUCUGCGCAGGGCGAGCAAGAGAAAUAAAUGUAGUAAAAAUGAGACAACAUGCACGUUAGGUCAGAAAUAAUAUUUAUUGAGCCAUACACUGGUAGUAGCAGUCACAAAAUCAAAGUGCCGGCUGUAGGCAAAAUAACCAGCAUCAACUGCCCGUGUUAGCACUGCGCUGUGCAGAAGCGUCUGCGGUGGCAAUUGCUCGUGUGGUGUUUAGAUGCUGCCUUUGCCUCGAGCUCUGUCUAUACUAACAGCAUUGAGGAUGAAAUGAUGGUAGAAGAGGGAGUGUGAGAGAAGGACUGACUCAAAGAGCCAGCCGUUCGUUCGUCAGUACUGGACCGUUUCCUCAUCGUUUGG